AUAGUCAAUGGUAGGUCAGUGUAUAGUCAAUGGUUGACCUACCAUUGACUAUACACUGACCUACCAUUACUAU
rnacentral:pre_miRNA from 1 species